GACGAAGGAUGCAAGCGUUAUCCGGAUUCAUUGGGUUUAAAGGGAGCGUAGGCGGAUUGGUAAGUCAGUGGUGAAAUCUGUGGGCUUAACCCACAAACUGCCAUUGAUACUGCUGAUCUAGAGUACAGUUGCCGUUGGCGGAAUAUGACAUGUAGUGGUGAAAUACUUAGAUAUGUCAUAGAACACCGAUUGCGAAGGCAGCUAACGAAACUGUAACUGACGCUGAGGCUCGAAAGUGCGGGGAUCAAACAGGAUUAGAUACCCUGGUAGUCCGCACCGUAAACGAUGAUUACUCGCUGCUUGAGGGCAACCUUGAGUGGCCAAGCGAAAGCGAUAAGUAAUCCACCUGGGGAGUACGCCGGCAACGGUGAA
rnacentral:rRNA from 1 species